rnacentral:rRNA from 1 species
CCUACGGUCGGCAGCAGUGGGGGAUAUUGCACAAUGGGGGGAACCCUGAUGCAGCGACGCCGCGUGGGUGCAGGAGUGCUUCGGCAUGUAAAGCCCUAUCGGCAGGGAAGAAGCAAGACGGUACCUGACUAAGAAGCCCCGGCUAACUACGUGCCAGCAGCCGCAGUAAUACGUAGGGGGCGAGCGUUAUCCGGAUUCACUGGGUGUAAAGGGAUCGGAGACGGCCAUGCAAGCCAGGGGUGAAAGCCCGGGGCCCAACCCCGGGACUGCUCUUGGAACUGCAUGGAUGGAGUUCGGGAGGGGCAGGCGGAAUGCCUGGUGUAGCGGUGAAAUGCGUAGAUAGCAGGAGGAACAC